rnacentral:sRNA from 1 species
UGAAGCUUCAAGGCUGCUGAAUAAUUUCCUUCUUCCAUUUUGUGCCUGCCUAGCUAUCCAGGCAGAGCAGUUACCCUCAGCUCUAGCUGAUACUACAGAUAGCACAACAGACUCACUGGACGAAAGAAAGAUAAAAGGGGUAAUUGAGCUCAGGAAGAGCUUACUGUCUGCCUUGAGAACUUAUGAACCAUAUGGAUCCCUGGUUCAACAAAUACGAAUUCUGCUGCUGGGUCCAAUUGGAGCUGGGAAGUCCAGCUUUUUCAACUCAGUGAGGUCUAUUUUCCAAGGGCAUGUAACGCAUCAGGCUUUGGUGGGCACUAAUACAACUGGGAUAUCUGAGAAGUAUAGGACAUACUCUAUUAGAGACGGGAAAAAUGGCAAAUACCUGCCAUUUAUUCUGUGUGACUCACUAGGGCUGAGUGAGAAAGAAGGCGGCCUGUGCAGGGAUGACAUACUCUACAUCUUGAAUGGUAACAUUCGUGAUAGAUACCAGUUUAAUCCCAUGGAAUCAAUCAAAUUAAGUCAUCAUGACUACAUUGAUUCCCCAUUGCUGAAGGACAGAAUUCAUUGUGUGGCAUUUGUAUUUGAUGCCAGCUCUAUUGAACGCUUCUCCUCUCAGAUGAUAGUAAAGAUCAAAAGAAUUCGAAGGGAGUUGAUAAACGCUGGUGUGGUACAUGUGGCUUUGCUCACUCAUGUGGAUAGCAUGGAUCUGAUUACAAAAGGUGACCUUAUAGAAAUAGAGAGAUGUGUGCCUGUGAGGUCCAAGCUAGAGGAAGUCCAAAAAAAACUUGGAUUUGCUCUUUCUGACAUCUCGGUGGU